rnacentral:rRNA from 1 species
GACGUAGGGCGCGAGCGUUGUCCGGAUUUAUUGGGCGUAAAGAGCUCGUAGGCGGCUUGUCGCGUCGAAUGUGAAAACUCGGGGCUCAACUCCGAGCUUGCAUUCGAUACGGGCAGGCUAGAGUUCGGUAGGGGGAGACUGGAAUUCCUGGUGUAGCGGUGAAAUGCGCAGAUAUCAGGAGGAACACCGGUGGCGAAGGCGGGUCUCUGGGCCGAUAUCUGACGCUGAGGAGCGAAAGCGUGGGGAGCGAACAGG